UCCCGGGAUAGCUCAAUCAGUAGAGCAUGAGAUUCUUAAUCUCUGGGUUGUGGGUUAAAGCCCCAAGUUGGGCA